rnacentral:rRNA from 1 species
GAUGAACGCUGGCGGCGUGCCUAAUACAUGCAAGUCGAGCGAACAGAUGAGGAGCUUGCUCCUCUGACGUGAGCGGCGGACGGGUGAGUAACACGUGGAUAACCUACCUAUAAGACUGGGAUAACUUCGGGAAACCGGAGCUAAUACCGGAGAAGAUAUUGAACCGCAUGGUUCAAUAGUGAAAGACGGUUGUGCUGUCACGUAUAGAUGGAUCCGCGCCGCAUUAGCUAGUUGGUAAGGUAACGGCUUACCAAGGCAACGAUGCGUAGCCGACCUGAGGGGGUGAUCGCCCACACUGGAACUGAGACACGGUCCAGGCUCCUGCGGGAGGCAGCAGUCGCGAAUCUUCCGCAAUGGGCGAAAGCCUUACGGAGCAGCCCCGCGUGAGUGGUGAAGGUCUUCGGAUCGUAAAACUCUGUUAUUAGGGAAGAACAAAUGUGUAAGUAACUAUGCACGUCUUGACGGUACCUAAUCAGAAAGCCACGGCUAACUACGUG